rnacentral:rRNA from 1 species
UACGAAGGGGGCUAGCGUUGCUCGGAAUUACUGGGCGUAAAGCGCUCGCAGGUGGUUCGUCGCGUCGUGCGUGAAAGACCCCGGCUCAACUGGGGAGUGUCGUGCGAUACGGGCGGACUGGAGGCCAGUAGGGGGAUGCGGAAUUCCGGGUGUAGUGGUGGAAUGCGUAGAGAUCCGGAGGAACACCAGCGGCGAAGGCGGCAUCCUGGACUGGUCCUGACACUCAUGAGCGAAAGCGUGGGGAGCGAUCCGG